rnacentral:rRNA from 1 species
GCUCCUUUGACGUUAGCGGCGGACGGGUGAGUAACACGUGGAUAACCUACCUAUAAGACUGGGAUAACUUCGGGAAACCGGAGCUAAUACCGGAUAAGAUUUUGAACCGCAUGGUUCAAUAGUGAAAGACGGCCUUGCUGUCACUUAUAGAUGGAUCCGCGCCGUAUUAGCUAGUUGGUAAGGUAACGGCUUACCAAGGCAACGAUACGUAGCCGACCUGAGAGGGUGAUCGGCCACACUGGAACUGAGACACGGUCCAGACUCCUACGGGAGGCAGCAGUAGGGAAUCUUCCGCAAUGGGCGAAAGCCUGACGGAGCAACGCCGCGUGAGUGAUGAAGGUCUUCGGAUCGUAAAACUCUGUUAUCAGGGAAGAACAAACGUGUAAGUAACUGUGCACGUCUUGACGGUACCUGAUCAGAAAGCCACGGCUAACUACGUGCCAGCAGCCGCGGUAAUACGUAGGUGGCAAGCGUUAUCCGGAAUUAUUGGGCGUAAAGCGCGCGUAGGCGGUUUUUUAAGUCUGAUGUGAAAGCCCACGGCUCAACCGUGGAGGGUCAUUGGAAACUGGAAAACUUGAGUGCAGAAGAGGAAAGUGGAAUUCCAUGUGUAGCGGUGAAAUGCGCAGAGAUAUGGAGGAACACCAGUGGCGAA